rnacentral:tRNA from 1 species
GGUCCCAUCGUCUAGUGGCCCAGGACGCCGGCCUCUCACGCCGGCAACACGGGUUCGAAUCCCGUUGGGAUCA